AUGUCGAUCUCAGCAUCGGAGGGAGAGCUGUCAGAUGAAGAUUCAGCUGUGCUGCUGCCCUCUGGGACGGUGGCGGAGCCUGAAUUGGAUCCGGAGAUGACAGCUAUGCUUUCCCGGGCCGCCGAGAGGGUAGGGCUCGAGUGGAAAUCUCCACCGCGUCCCGAGCCCUCGAGGCAGGAUGAUUGGUUUCUCAAGGUGGCGCGCGCUGGUUUUCAGCGCCCCACCCUGGUGCCUUUCUUCCCGGCAGUGCAUGACGAGCUCACCAGGUCGUGGAUGGCACCUUUUACUGCCAGAAACUGGCUGGUGGGCUCCUCCUCCCUCACCACCCUCGAUGGCAGUGCAGCGAAGGGGUAUUCGGUGAUUCCCCCAGUGGAGCGGGCGGUAGCGAUGCAAGUGUGUCCUAAGUCUGCCUCCUGCUGGCGGGGAGACCCGGUGCUUCUUUCCCGGGCCUAUAGGCAUUCGUCUGGUCUAACCGGCGGUGCCUAUAUGGCUUGCGGGGAAGCUGCUUCUGCCUUACACGCUGUGGCGUUACUGCAGGUGCACCAGGCCAAGGCACUGAAGGACCUGCACGAGGGUGGUUACGAUCCAGAAGUUCUGAAAACUCAGAACCGCCACUGGCCUCGCGCUCCCGAGCGACGAAGGUCACCGUGCAUUCUCUGGGUCGUGCGGCAGCAGCUGCCCGCUGGGCAGAAGGUCGGACCGUCUCAGUCUGCUCCUGUGCAGCCGAGGACUGCUGGGCCAUGUUCUCGACUGCAUUACCGAAAAGGCCGGUCUGGGACACAGGAGCUUUGAGGAACCAAACUUUGUCAGCUUCCCUCAUGUCGACCAGACACAACCAGAGGUGAUGCUCCUGCACCACAAGUGUGGACAGCGCACGACCCAGAUAACUCAAGGUGACCUUCAUCGAUUGGAGCGCAAGAUGUUUUUAGAACUUCCGGAUCAUAACCUCCCUUGUGCGGGUUCCUCAGUGCUUCAGCCUGAAGAACCUACAGUAACGCCGUAGCGUGUAAGGUGGAGGCAGCUUCUCCACAGGCCGUAUAAGCAUCGCUGGCCAGACGAGUACCUACAGACCCGGGAGGGGAGGCACGGUUUGCCCUGCUGGGUGGAGGUGUAUUAGGACACAACUGCAUUGCAACUAAAAAAAGCAUAGCCAUUAUUUCCAUAUCGAUAUCCGUCGGAAGUAUUACCUAAGGAUACUACUGGUAUCCUCCUUCUAGAGGGCCCAGCACAUUCCAUUGGCAGCUCAACUGUUUGUGGAGUGCAAGAGGAGUGAUGGUCCCCCGAGGGUUGGUUCCCUGGAGGGUUUGCCAUAACUGUUACCCUCAGACCGCCCGUGCUACUGCUUGAAGUAGCCCCUGCCUGACUGCCACCAUGAUGAGAACUAGAUCAAGGUAGAGUCAAUGGAGCUCCGCCACCUUUGAGGAAACAGAGCUUGGCCUGUGACACCAAGAAGAUCAUCUUCCUGCAAUGAGAACAUGACUCAUACACAAACGCCACCUCAGCGUGCUAAAUGCUCAGGCACAUGAGGCAUUGAUUGUGACCAUCACCCAGCACUAGGUAAAGACCGCAUCCAGAAACGCCCGGGUGAUACGUUGUCUAUAGCAAGAUCCACAACGAUCUGAUUUAAUAAUAAUCUAUUUAUUUGGAAUAAUGCAACAAUUCUACCCCCAUAUUAGUUCACCCAAAAAUAAUAUUUCUGUCAUAAUUUAUUCACUAAUGUAAAUGAUGAAA
ensembl:lncRNA